UCGUAGUGUUGAACUUAACCAAUAUGAUGUUCUUUCUUUCUUUCUAAUCAGAGAUCAGUUUUUCAAAUUAAUUUCAACUGUUUAUACUUAACUGCUUUUACCAACUUUCUGAAUCAACAAUUGCCCAUGCGACUAUUGAAUAUAAUUGUCAGAAGAACUUUUAGAUGUUAGAAACGAUUCUAUUUUAAAGACUCUGCAGGUUAUAUAUUGAUUUACGAAAACGAUUCCAUGCGAGGAAAAGAUUCUGUGUAUAAAUGUUAUCCAUUACAUUCCAAGAGUGUAUAAAAGUGUGAGAACGAAUUUCAAAUUAACGAAUUAUUUUGUAAGAGAGAUGAGAAGGAAUGGAGAUCGAAUACGCUUCGUGUCAGAAUGUCGUCGCUAUCAAUGUUCUGUUUAUCUUUCAAAUGACUAUAAAUCAUGGCGUUGACGGAUCGUUGGAAAAAAAUAAAAACAAAACAAAACGAAAUGAGCAGUAAAUGGAGUCAAGAUGCACUCGCAUACAAUUCUCUUGUAAUUUUCAAGGGAAAAAAGAUAAAGAUAAAAAACGAAGAGAAAAAGAAAAAGGAAAAUAUAGGGAAAAAAAUGAGAUGUUAAAGAGCUCCAUGAUAAGAUUUAAAAUUUUCAGCGUAUAAGAAGUCAAUGAAAAAGGUCCGAUCAAUCAGUAGUUGUGAUGGAGCCGACCUAGUUAUGUCACUCCAAAUAAACCAAUCCUCCUACUUACCAUGUAUUAAUCUUGUAUUAACCUAUAUUUUUUCAAGAUUACAAAUAUUCGUGCAUUUUUCUUUUACAAAAGUAUACCCUAGGAAUUUAUAAUACUAGGAAUUUAUAGUACUAAUAGUACUAUUUCUUGACUAUUAAUAGUUUUUUUCAUAAUAUUUAGUAAAAAUUUUUCUCCCGUUAUUAUUGAGAUAAACAAAUCUUUAACGAUUUAUUGUACUUAUAGUUUCUGAAAUAAUAAUUUUUAGCUACAAGAAUACUAUUGAUAUAAUACAUUAGUAAAAUAAAAUACACUUUUAAAUACAAACAAUUUAGGUAAUAAAUUUAAUACAUAUCCAUAAUUAUAAUAUUAAAUUGUUUAAAGAAAAAUUAUAU